AAACGUGAAAAGCACAGGAGCGGUGUAUGGUGUCUAUGACAUUGAGGGCAGAAGUCUGUUCUCAUUAGACAAAAAUGAAUGGCACAGAAGAACCAGAAAGCCAAACUCUGGCUCAGAAGAUGUCAUCCAUGAAAGCUGGAAGGCAGGAAGAAGAAAUCACUAAGCCCUGUCCUGAAGUAAACAGACAUAACCACCAGGGUAUGGGUCAUGAGUUCCCUUACCUUCCUCUUCCAGCACCAGCCCAGUCGUCCCAGCCUGAAGGUCCAAUUGCAUAAAGGGUUGGAACUUCCUGGGUCAGUGCUUCAACGCUGUCUGUUUGUGGCGGGGCCUUCCCCUCGCUUUCUGCUCCUUAGCAUCCAGAGCCACUUUUGGUGUAGUAGCCCCAGGGUAGGAGUGGGUACUGGGUCUGUGCCCAGGAGAAUGGGUUGAGAGUUCCUAAGCUUUUAAUUUUUUUCAAAUAAAAAUAAAUUUAUUUAAAACUGG
rnacentral:lncRNA from 1 species